CUUUAUCUCAACACGGAACCUUCAGUUGGACUUCGUUCCCAUACCAACAGUAGUACAAUAUCUGCAUAAGCGCGCAGCUCGUGUAGAUUACCGACACUAUAUACUUCGAAUCCACUUCUCUUUGGACGAUGUCCAAGAAUCUCGAAUUGACAGUAUAUGUGAAUCAAGAGACUGCUGAACAGAGAAUCAGCGCCAAUGUUAUAAAACGUGCAGACGCUUAAACUUGUAGCUUGAUAAAUGUACGUGACAGUGAACAAAAGUAAUGAAGAGUAAUCGUAGGGUAUCCACGAACGCUUGAGACAAAUACCUCCGCUGUCAGAUAGAAAUUAUCGCUGAAAUCUUCUGGAUUGUCAACGGUUAAAACUAAAUCCAAGAUUAGAGAUAACAAGAAGCUGUGUACCACCAGGAACAAAAAGACCAUGUACGCGGUGUAG